GGGCCCGCACAAGCAGCGGAGCGUGUUGCUUAAUUCGAUGCAACGCGAAAAACCUUACCUACACUUGACAUACUUCGAAUUUUCUAGAGAUAGAUUAGUGCCUUCGGGAGCGAAGAUACAGGUGCUGCAUGGCUGUCGUCAGCUCGUGUCGUGAGAUGUUGGGUUAAGUCCUAUAACGAGCGCAACCCUUACCCUUAUUUGCCAGCGGUUAGGCCGGGAACUAUAAGGGAACUGCCGGUAAUAAGCCGGAGGAAGGUGGGGACGACGUCAAGUCAUCAUGGCCCUUACGUGUAGGGCUACACACGUGCUACAAUGGGAGAUACAGACGGUUGCUAAAGCGCGAGCUGGAGCCAAUCCGACAAAGUCUCUCGUAGUCCGAAUUGCAGUCUGGAACUCGACUGCAUGAAGCCGGAAUC
rnacentral:rRNA from 1 species